CGCAUCUGUGCAUGCAGCAUAUCAAUAAGCGGAGGAAAAGAAACUAACAAGGAUUCCCUUAGUAACGGCGAGUGAAGCGGGAAGAGCUCAAAUUUGAAAUCUUCAAGGUUUUACCUUGACGAAUUGUAGUUUAAAGAAGUGUUUUCUGUUGAAGUUUUGGUAAAAGUUCUUUGGAAUAGGACAUCAUAGAGGGUGAGAAUCCCGUAUUUGACCAUUAUUUUCAGCUGUGUGAUACACUUUCAAAGAGUCGGAUUGUUUGGGAAUGCAGUCCAAAAUGGGUGGUAAAUUUCAUCUAAAGCUAAAUAUUGGCGAGAGACCGAUAGCGAACAAGUACCGCGAGGGAAAGAUGAAAAGAACUUUGAAAAGAGAGUUAAACAGUACGUGAAAUUGUCAAAAGGGAAGCGUUUGACACCAGUGUUGUUUUCUCGAAAAUCAAUUAAAAAGAGUUAGAUUUUGUGUUGUAUUGACCUUAACAGCUUGCAUUCACUCUUUCUCAGCUUUUUUUAAUGCACUUUUCGUUUAACAAGUCAACAUCAGUUUCUUUUGUUGUAAAAGGGUCAUUGGAAGGUGGCUUUCUCUUCGGAGAAAGUGUUUAUAUCCUUUGAUCUCCUGCAAUCGGAGAGACUGAGGUCUGCAGCGUAGAUCCUUCGGGGUUAGAUACAUUUGUGCUAAGUUAUAGCUUUUUAUAGACAACUUGUUGACUAUGAUUAGUCUUGUAGCUUACUCGCUUAUGCUAUUUUACCUACGCUUAGGAUGUUGACGCGCGUGUGUGCGUG
rnacentral:rRNA from 1 species